rnacentral:rRNA from 1 species
GGCCUACCAUGGUUUUAACGGGUAACGGGGAAUUAGGGUUCGAUUCCGGAGAGGGAGCCUGAGAAACGGCUACCACAUCCAAGGAAGGCAGCAGGCGCGCAAAUUACCCAAUCCCGACACGGGGAGGUAGUGACAAUAAAUAACAAUACGGGGCUCAUUUGGGUCUCGUAAUUGGAAUGAGUACAAUUUAAAUCUCUUAACGAGGAACAAUUGGAGGGCAAGUCUGGUGCCAGCAGCCGCGGUAAUUCCAGCUCCAAUAGCGUAUAUUAAAGUUGUUGCAGUUAAAAAGCUCGUAGUUGAACUUCGGGGUUUACUCAUUGGUCAGGCUUAAUUGUUUGUACUGGUGAGAUGAAUCUCUACCUUCUGAGGAACUUUCAUGCCAUUUAUUUGGUGUGAUUGGAAAUCAGGACUGUUACUUUGAAAAAAUUAGAGUGUUUAAAGCAGGCUAACGUCUGAAUACAUUAGCAUGGAAUAAUGAAAUAGGACGGAUUGAUUCUAUUUCGUUGGUUUCUAGGAUCACCGUAAUGAUUAAUAGGGAUAGUUGGGGGCAUUAGUAUUCAAUUGUCAGAGGUGAAAUUCUUGGAUUUAUUGAAGACUAACUACUGCGAAAGCAUUUGCCAAGGAUGUUUUCAUUAAUCAAGAACGAAAGUUAGGGGAUCGAAGACGAUCAGAUACCGUCGUAGUCUUAACCAUAAACUAUGCCGACUAGGGAUCGGACGCAGUUAAUUUUAUAAUGACGUGUUCGGCACCUUACG